CCCUUAGAUGUUCUGGGCCGCACGCGUGCUACACUGAUGCAUUCAACGAGUCUAAAACCUGGUCUGAUAGGGCUGGGUAAUCUUUUGAAAGUGCAUCGUGAUUGGGAUAGAUGAUUGCAAUUCUUCAUCUUCAACGAGGAAUGCCUAGUAAACGCAAGUCAUCAGCUUGCAUUGAUUACGUCCCUGCCCUUUGUACACACCGCCCAUCGCUCCUACCGAUUGAAUGAUCCGAUGAAUACCAUGGAUUGAGAGUACGAAUAGGUUCGCUUAUUUCUGCUGCUCGAGAAGUGGAGUAAAUCUUAUCAUUUAGAGGAAGGAGAAGUCGUAACA
rnacentral:rRNA from 1 species